rnacentral:rRNA from 1 species
CUACGUGCCAGCAGCCGCGGUAAUACAGAGGGUGCGAGCGUUAAUCAGAAUUACUGGGCGUAAAGCGAGCGUAGGUGGCUAAUUAAGUCACAUGUGAAAUCCCUGGGCUUAACCUAGGAACUGCAUGUGAUACUGGUUAGCUAGAGUAUGUGAGAGGGGUGUAGAAUUCCAGGUGUAGCGGUGAAAUGCGUAGAGAUCUGGAGGAAUACCGAUGGCGAAGGCAGGUGUCCGGGCUGCAACUGACACUGAGGCUCGAAAGUGUGGGUAUCAAACAGGAUUAGAUACCCUGGUAGUCCACACAGUAAACGAUGUAUACUCGCGGUUUGCGAUAGACAGUAAGCCGCCAAGCGAAAGCAUUAAGUAUACCACCUGGGGAGUACGCCGGCAACGGUGAAACUCAAAGGAAUUGACGAGGGCCCGCACAAGCGGAGGAACAUGUGGUUUAAUUCGAUGAUACGCGAGGAACCUUACCCGGGCUUGAACUAACGGUGACGAAUCUAGAGAUAG